GGCCCGGGAUAGCCCAGGGAAACCUGGAUUAAUACCGGAUGAGACGGGACCCGCGAUGGCGGGAUCCGGGAAAGGCGCUGCGGCGCCGCCGGGGGAUGAGUCUGCGUCCCAUUAGGCGUAGACGCGGGGUAACGGCCCACCGUGGCGACGAUGGGUAGCCGGCCUGAGAGGGUGACGGCCACAUUGGAACUGAGACACGGUCCAGACUCCUACGGGAGGCAGCAGCUAAGAAUCUUCCGCAGUGGGCGAAAGCCUGACGGAGCGAACCGGCCGCGUGAACGAAGAAGGCUGUGAGGUUGUAAAGUUCUUUUCGGGAGGGGAACAACCGUGGCAGGGAAUGGCCGCGGGAUGACGUGAAUCCCGGAAUAAGCCCCGGCUAACUACGUGCCAGCCGCGGC
rnacentral:rRNA from 1 species